GACGAAGGGGGCUAGCGUUGUUCGGAAUUACUGGGCGUAAAGCGCGUGUAGGCGGUUGUUCAAGUCAGGUGUGAAAGCCUUGAGCUCAACUCAAGAAAUGCACUUGAUACUGGAUGACUAGAGGACCGGAGAGGAUAGUGGAAUUCCCAGUGUAAUGGUGAAAUACGUAGAGAUUGGGAAGAACACCAGUGGCGAAGGCGGCUAUCUGGACGGUUUCUGACGCUAAGACGCGAAAGCGUGGGGAGCAAACAGG
rnacentral:rRNA from 1 species